rnacentral:rRNA from 1 species
GACGGAGGGUGCAAACGUUGUUCGGAAUCACUGGGCAUAAAGAGCACGUAGGCGGAUAUUUAAGUCAGGGGUGAAAUCCCGGGGCUCAACCCCGGAACUGCCUUUGAUACUGGGUAUCUCGAGUCCGAGAGAGGUGAGUGGAAUUCCGAGUGUAGAGGUGAAAUUCGUAGAUAUUCGGAGGAACACCAGUGGCGAAGGCGGCUCACUGGCUCGGUACUGACGCUGAGGUGCGAAAGCGUGGGGAGCAAACAGG